rnacentral:rRNA from 1 species
GAUUCAUCGUCAGCGGUGCUGGCACGCGUGCGGUUCGUGAUGACCGAUGCGUCGUUAGACCUAACGUCACGCGUCCGCAUGUUCUCAUUGCCUGGCAUCGUCGGCGUGCACUUCUCCCCUAGUAGGACGUCGCGACCCGUUGGGUGUCGGUCUACGGCCCGGGUGGGCGCCUGUCUCGUGUGGCGCUUCACGGCGUCACCGCGGGGCAGACCCCCGGCUGCCCGACCGACCGCCCGGCGGUGCUCGCAAGGUAUCUGGCCGCAAUUAUUCGAACUGCGUCCGGCCCGUUGCAAGCUAGGCCAGUGUCUCCCGAAUGUACGGAUCCGAAUGCCGUCUUCGGACCUGGCCGGCUGUUGGUUAACGGUGCCCUAGGACAGGCCAAUUUUAUACCGGUCGGCGACGCUACUGCUUUGGGUACUUUCAGGACCCGUCUUGAAACACGGACCAAGGAGUCUAACAUGUGCGCGAGUCAUUGGGAUCUGUUAAGCCUAAAGGCGCAAUGAAAGUGAAGGUCGGUCUUGAGCCGACCGAGGGAGGAUGGGCCUGCGUCACGAUGCAGGUCCCGCACUCCCGGGGCGUCUCGUUCUCAUUGCGAGAAGAGGCGCACCCAGAGCGUACACGU